UACGGAGGGUGCAAGCGUUAUCCGGAAUCAUUGGGUUUAAAGGGUCCGCAGGCGGAUUUAUAAGUCAGUGGUGAAAGCCUACAGCUUAACUGUAGAACUGCCAUUGAUACUGUAAGUCUUGAAUUCGGUCGAAGUGGGCGGAAUAUGUCAUGUAGCGGUGAAAUGCUUAGAUAUGACAUAGAACACCGAUAGCGAAGGCAGCUCACUAGGCCUGGAUUGACGCUCAGAGACGAAAGCUAGGGGAGCAAAAGGG
rnacentral:rRNA from 1 species